GGGAAGAUGGCCGAGCGGUUAUGGCGUUGCGUUCAGGCCUCCUAAGUCUAGACACAAUAUUCGCAAUGGGGCAACCCGCGUGGGUUCGAAUCCCACUCUUCUCA